UACGGGGGGGGGCAAGCGUUGUUCGGAAUUACUGGGCGUAAAGGGCUCGUAGGCGGCCAACUAAGUCAGACGUGAAAUCCCUCGGCUUAACCGGGGAACUGCGUCUGAUACUGGAUGGCUUGAGUUCGGGAGAGGGAUGCGGAAUUCCAGGUGUAGCGGUGAAAUGCGUAGAUAUCUGGAGGAACACCGGUGGCGAAGGCGGCAUCCUGGACCGACACUGACGCUGAGGAGCGAAAGCCAGGGGAGCAAUCCGG
rnacentral:rRNA from 1 species